CUUGCUCUCGGGUGACGAGCGGCGGACGGGUGAGUAAUGUCUGGGAAACUGCCUGAUGGAGGGGGAUAACUACUGGAAACGGUAGCUAAUACCGCAUAACGUCGCAAGACCAAAGUGGGGGACCUUCGGGCCUCAUGCCAUCAGAUGUGCCCAGAUGGGAUUAGCUAGUAGGUGGGGUAACGGCUCACCUAGGCGACGAUCCCUAGCUGGUCUGAGAGGAUGACCAGCCACACUGGAACUGAGACACGGUCCAGACUCCUACGGGAGGCAGCAGUGGGGAAUAUUGCACAAUGGGCGCAAGCCUGAUGCAGCCAUGCCGCGUGUAUGAAGAAGGCCUUCGGGUUGUAAAGUACUUUCAGCGGGGAGGAAGGCGAUAAGGUUAAUAACCUUGUCGAUUGACGUUACCCGCAGAAGAAGCACCGGCUAACUCCGUGCCAGCAGCCGCGGUAAUACGGAGGGUGCAAGCGUUAAUCGGAAUUACUGGGCGUAAAGCGCACGCAGGCGGUCUGUCAAGUCGGAUGUGAAAUCCCCGGGCUCAACCUGGGAACUGCAUUCGAAACUGGCAGGCUAGAGUCUUGUAGAGGGGGGUAGAC
rnacentral:rRNA from 1 species